rnacentral:rRNA from 1 species
UACAGAGGUGGCAAGCGUUGUUCGGAAUUACUGGGCGUAAAGGGCGCGUAGGCGGCCUUCUAAGUCAGACGUGAAAUCCCCCGGCUUAACCUGGGAACUGCGUCUGAUACUGGGCGGCUUGAAUUCGGGAGAGGAAUGCGGAAUUCCAGGUGUAGCGGUGAAAUGCGUAGAUAUCUGGAGGAACACCGGUGGCGAAGGCGGCAUUCUGGACCGACAUUGACGCUGAGGCGCGAAAGCCAGGGGAGCAAACGGG